GCCUUCGUGGUGUAAAGGUAGCACACUCGGGGCGUAUUCAAGAGGUCCAGGUUCGAGUCCCGGCGAGGGUA
rnacentral:tRNA from 1 species